rnacentral:rRNA from 1 species
AGGACGAACGCUGGCGGCGUGCCUAACACAUGCAAGUCGAGCGAGGAGAUCCUUCGGGAUGAUCCUAGCGGCGGACGGGUGAGUAACACGUGGGCAACCUGCCUCAUAGAGAGGAAUAGCCUUCCGAAAGGGAGAUUAAUACCUCAUAACAUUGCAGUUUCGCAUGGAACAGCAAUUAAAGGAGUAAUCCGCUAUGAGAUGGGCCCGCGGCGCAUUAGCUAGUUGGUGAGGUAACGGCUCACCAAGACGAUGAUACGUAGCCGACCUGAGAGGGUGAUCGGCCACAUUGGGACUGAGACACGGCCCAAACUCCUACGGGAGGCAGCAGUAGGGAAUCUUCCGCAAUGGACGAAAGUCUGACGGAGCAACGCCGCGUGAGUGAAGAAAAGGGUUUUUCGGAUCGUAAAACUCUGUUGUCAGAGAAGAACAAGUUGGAGAGUAACUGCUCCAGCCUUGACGGUAUCUGACCAGAAAGCCACGGCUAACUACGUGCCAGCAGCCGC